rnacentral:rRNA from 1 species
AGCCGCGGUAAUUCCAGCUCCAAUAGCGUAUAUUAAAGUUGUUGCAGUUAAAACGCUCGUAGUCGGAUUUCGGGGCGGGGCCGCCGGUCUGCCGAUGGGUAUGCACUGGCGGUCGCGUCCUUCCUUCCGGAGACUGGCCCUACUCUUAACUGAGCGGGGUCGGGAGUCGGAUCGUUUACUUUGAAAAAGUCAGAGUGUUUCAAGCAGGCAGCUCGCUCUUGCAUGGAUUAGCAUGGGAUAAUGAAAUAGGACUUUGGUGCUAUUUUGUUGGUUUCGAACACCGAAGUAAUGAUUAACAGGGACAGUCAGGGGCACUCGUAUUCCGCCGAGAGAGGUGAAAUUCUCAGACCAGCGGAAGACGAACCACUGCGAAAGCAUUUGCCAGGGAUGUUUUCACUGAUCAAGAACGAAAGUUAGGGGAUCGAAGACGAUCAGAUACCGUCGUAGUCUUAACCAUAAACCAUGCCGACUAGGGAUGGGUGGAUGUCCUUCUUUGACUCCAUCCGCACCUUAAGGGAAACUAUAGUCUUUGGGUUCCGGGGGGAGUAUGGUCGCAAGGCUGAAACUUAAAGGAAUUGACGGAAGGGCACCACCAGGAGUGGAGCCUGCGGCUUAAUUUGACUCAACACGGGGAAACUUACCAGGUCCAGACAUUGUGAGGAUUGACAGAUUGAGAGCUCUUUCUUGAUUCGAUGGGUGGUGGUGCAUGGCCGUUCUUA